rnacentral:rRNA from 1 species
GACGGAGGGUGCCAGCGUUACCCGGAUUUACUGGGUGUAAAGGGCGUGUAGGCGGUCUCUCAAGUCCGAUGCUAAAGACCGAAGCUCAACUUCGGGGGUGCGUUGGAUACUGUGAGGCUAGACGGUCGGAGAGGGUAGUGGAAUUUCCGGAGUAGCGGUGAAAUGCGCAGAUACCGGAAGGAACGCCAAUAGCGAAGGCAGCUACCUGGACGAUUUGUGACGCUGAGGCGCGAAAGCGUGGGGAGCAAACCGG